AUUGAACGCUGGCGGCAUGCCUUACACAUGCAAGUCGAACGGCAGCACGGGAGCAAUCCUGGUGGCGAGUGGCGAACGGGUGAGUAACUAUAUCGGAACGUGCCCAGUCGUGGGGGAUAACGUAGCGAAAGCUACGCUAAUACCGCAUACGAUCUAUGGAUGAAAGCGGGGGAUCGCAAGACCUCGCGCGAUUGGAGCGGCCGAUAUCAGAUUAGGUAGUUGGUGGGGUAAAGCCUACCAAGCCUUCGAUCUGUAGCUGGUCUGAGAGGACGACCAGCCACACCUGGAACUGAGACACGGU
rnacentral:rRNA from 1 species